ACGGGUGAGUAACACGUGGGUGACCUUCCCCAAAGACGGGGAUAACUCUUGGAAACAGGGGCUAAUACCCGAUGUGCUCAGCAGUUCACUCUGUUGAGUAAAGCUAUGGCGCUUUGGGAUGGGCCCGCGGCCCAUCAGCUAGUUGGUAGGGUAAAGGCCUACCAAGGCUAAGACGGGUAGGGGGCGUGAGAGCGCGAUCCCCCACACUGGCACUGAGACACGGGCCAGACUCCUACGGGAGGCAGCAGUGAGGAAUAUUGCGCAAUGGACGAAAGUCUGACGCAGCGACGCCGCGUGGGCGAUGAAGGCCUUCGGGUCGUAAAGCCCUUUUCUGGGGGAAGAGAAAGGACGGUACCCCAGGAAUAAGCCCCGGCUAACUACGUGCCAGCAGCCGCGGUAAAACGUAGGGGGCAAGCGUUAUCCGGAUUUACUGGGCGUAAAGAGCGUUGAGGCGGUUUUGUAAGUUGGGCGUGAAAGCCCUGGGCUUAACUCAGGGAAGCCGUUCAAUACUGCGAAACUUGAGGGCAGCAGAGGGAGGUGGAAUUCCCGGAGUAGCGGUGAAAUGCGUAGAUAUCGGGAGGAACACCAGUGGCGAAGGCGGCCUCCUGGGCUGCUCCUGACGCUGAAGGCGAAAGCUAGGGGAGCGAACGGGAUUAGAAACCCCGGUAGUCCUAGCCGUAAACGAUGGAUGCUAGGUGUGGGGGGUGUAGAUUCCCUCCGUGCCGCAGUUAACGCGUUAAGCAUCCCGCCUGGGGAGUACGGCCGCAAGGCUAAAACUCAAACGAAUUGACGGGGGCCCGCACAAGCAGCGGAGCGUGUGGUUUAAUUCGAUGCUACACGAAGAACCUUACCUGGGCUUGACAUACAGGUAGUAGUGAAGUGAAAGCGGAUCGAUCCUUCGGGGAGCCUGUACAGGUGCUGCAUGGCUGUCGUCAGCUCGUGCCGU
rnacentral:rRNA from 1 species